rnacentral:rRNA from 1 species
UACGGGGGGGGCAAGCGUUGUUCGGAAUUACUGGGCGUAAAGGGCGCGUAGGCGGAAUGGCAAGUCGGUCGUGAAAUCCUUCGGCUCAACCGAAGAACGUCGAUCGAAACUGCCGUUCUUGAGGAUUGCAGAGGAGACUGGAAUUCCCGGUGUAGCGGUGAAAUGUGUAGAGAUCGAGAGGAACACCGGUGGCGAAGGCGGGUCUCUGGGCAAUUCCUGACGCUGAGGCGCGAAAGCGUGGGGAGCAAACAGG